ensembl:ncRNA lncRNA:CR44084 long non-coding RNA:CR44084
GAAAAGAGAGAAAAAGGGGGUUGAUAAAGGGGGACUGCAGCUUCCUUUUAUGUCUGGCUUUUACUACACAGUGAAAAAUAUGACUAAGUUGUGUAUGUACUAUGUUCGAGUGCAUUAACAAUUUGCAGAACAUUCGACGAUCAAAAGGAAUCGUAUGGAAAAUACCAGAGUCCGUGGACCAUCGCAAGGGUUCUAUAUAUAGAGUGAGACCGCGCAUAUGUUUUCAAGUAAGCGAAGAUCGUCAAUGUCCGUGGUACUGGAAUUCAUCAGGCAGGCUGGAGAACAAUCAUCUAGAGGUGCUCAAAAUAGUUCCUUUCGGUGGAAAAUUAGCACGGAGCACAAGGCCUUCAAAGAACUCCAGAAAGAUCGUUAAAUCUGUUUAAGGUGUUCCAUUAUAAACAGC